rnacentral:rRNA from 1 species
UACGUAGGGGGCAAGCGUUGUCCGGAAUUAUUGGGCGUAAAGCGCACGUAGGCGGCUUUUUAAGUCAGAAGUGAAAUCCUGGAGCUCAACUCCAGAACUGCCUUUGAUACUGAGAAGCUUGAGUCCGGGAGAGGUGAGUGGAACUGCGAGUGUAGAGGUGAAAUUCGUAGAUAUUCGCAAGAACACCAGUGGCGAAGGCGGCUCACUGGCCCGGUACUGACGCUGAGGUGCGAAAGCGUGGGGAGCAAACAGG